CUAGGAAGCAGGGGUUUGGAAUGAUCUGGUUCUCAUCCUCAAGCAAAGCGUCCUUGUCGCUCCACUGGAUCUGGUGGUGUCGAGUUCGCCUGCGGUUCCCGAAGCACAGCAACAUGUUCUACCUCCACCCUGCCAGCCAGUAUAUUACUAUGAUGUGUCACAUGAAGAAAUUCAAGGUGCAGAAGGCCGUGGGUGAGGUUUGCAGACUUGGCUGGAGAGAAUGGAAUAACUGAACACAGAAAAGGUGCAUUCUUGCAUCUCGCCACCAUCCUGCAGUUGUUCAAAUAAAUGAAACUGUCAGUCACAGCAUCAGUCGACCACACACGGAUGUCAUCUAUCUACAACAGAGUCAGGUUUUUCUUUCCGUGCUGUUCCAAAAAGAGGGCCAAGAAUAGCGACACAUUUGGGCACAAGCUCCCAUGUAAUUUCCCACGCCUUUUGUCUCCGUUCCUGUGCCGCCCAUGCAUGCUGAGACAAUAAGCUGGGAGCUUCGUUAUGAAGCUGACAACACCGUUUUUACAAAGAAGUCAGCAGGAAUACCAUCAUUCCUACAACUGCCCCCCCCCCCCAUCAACGCUAAUAACACGCAACCAAAAGGAGCAGCUGCUGACACAUCUAACACGAAUAUUUAUUUGUUUCUAUCAAGCUGACGGAGUUCAGAAUAGCAGGUUUCACAAAAUGAAAACUCUGUGUGAGAAGAUUCACGGUUCCUGUGGUGCUGUUGGCUUACUAGAAAUAGUUACGCAAUCAGUUUUCAACAAAUAAUGGCUCCAGGACAGCGAUGCUCCGUCGAUUCUGUAUUCAAUGCAGGGUUAAUUGUUCUUCUGCUCAUUUAACUGGCAUAUCUGUGACUGAUGCAAACCUCAAAUGUUCAGCCCAUGAAAAAUCUCAGUUCCAGUUCAAGUGAAAUGGGGCACAGUGUGGUAACAUGGUUCCUAUCAUACAUCACAGACAGAGAUAAGCUAAACAUACUAAAUACUCUAUGUUUGCCCAAAUACAUUCAUCUAUAAUACCUCCAAACUGACAGCACCUAACUGACAGAUAAAGAUUCCCCACCCUGCAGCUUCCACAGGUCUGUAAUCUCUCCAGAAGUGGGACCUUAGCGUGAAAUUGAAUAACCUGAAAAUCACUUAUAGCAAAUGUUGUGAAUCUCUAUCAGAAAUGACAGGCCAUCAGUAUUCUGGAUGAGAACAUGUCCUCUGUCAGACAUCCAGACACAGAGGCUUACUUCCAGCUCAGUCGUCGUCUACAGAGGCUGCAUGACUGAGAUGCCGAGGCUGGAGAGGCCAGCCUCAAACAUCUGUAUCCCAAUUGGUAAAGUUUCAUGACAGCUCUAUUUGUCAAAGUCAAUCUUGGAGCUGCUACAUUACAGCCUCCUUGUGGCAUUUUAAGGCACCCUUAACAUAAUGAUAUAUCAUCCUGUCCCCGCCAGGAACAUCGGAGGAGGAAACAUUUCAUAAUGUUCUUUGCUUCAUUCAGUCUGGUAGAAUGUGGACAUGAGCACCGGGUCAAGAUGAACCACAAAACCAGAUUCAUUAAACUGGAUGUGGGGACAUCGAGUAAUGGGGCCUAACUAGUAUUUGCUGCAAUACAACUUUCCAGAGACAUGCGUUACUGGGGGGCUUUGUUAUGAUGAGUAACAUGUCGAAAAAUAGACUAAAUGGAAGUUAUAAAAGCAGUAGCAUACUAAUAAGCAGCGUGGUAACAGGCAUGAACUCAUCAAGGUUAUUUUUAGUCAACAAUAAAUGACCAACGUGUAAUGGCAUUUACUGAUGAGACUGCAGAUUGCUACCAGUACAUGCUGUUUUUCAAGCGUACAGGAAAACCUAUGAUGGUAGCGACUUCAGGACUAAAAACAUGAAAAAAAAUCUCCUCCACAGUCAGUGCUUAGUUUGUCCAUCCUGGGCUCCUGUAGCGAUAUGAUGGGCUCAUUUUAACCUGCAAUAGUGAAGACAUAAAACCGAACACUAUAUCUGCUAAUAGACUCCCUCAAAUCCUACACACUGAUCCUUUAAAGUUAAAUGUGAGGGGAUCAGAAGUGCUGAUCAGACGAUCUAAUUCUCUGCAGGGCACCACAGAGUGCUGAAUACACAGUUUCUGAGCCUGAUAUUUUACUGCAGAGUCUUUGUCAGGUUUUGACACUGGCUAGGUGGAACAAAAUCAUGUAAAAACGUUAGAAAGAAGUCCUGGCUAUCAAAUCCUCCCUCCAAAAGAAAGACGUAUUCGAAUCACGCCAAAUCAGCAAAACAAAAUCUACACAAUGAAUGGAGCUGUUUUGUUAGUUUGAUCAAACAUGAGGGGUUAAAAGCUUGUGACAUAUCAUGUGAAGAGACAAGUAUUGUGUUUCCAAUCUGGAGGGAAUAUAUAAAACCUAUUUGGAAUUUAUAUUAGCUGAUAUCCAUCCAAACUCCCUUUUUUCCACAGAUUUACCACGAAAGAUCAAGACAGCUCCUUCAGACUUGCAUCCAAACCACAGAUUGAAUUCUUUCAAAUGCUGACAAGCCGUCUCUAUAAGACAAGGAGAACUCUCCCUUCUGGAAGUGUCAGAAUCCAGUCAGUUAAAUGGAGGCACAUAUCUGCUGUACCGAAUAAAGUGAUUUAAUAACUUCUGCAGCUCUGCAGUGGAGGUUGUCCAAGCAGGCAGCUCUCAUGCAAGUACAGUUAAGACCUUGGAGUAAUCAUCCAUGGGAAUGAUGCAGACAUCAGCUCUCCACUUUUUGUGACAGAUAUGUCAAAUUCCAAUGCCUCACACAGUCAGAAUGUGGCUGACGCUAGACUUAGUCUGCACUAAUUUCAAUAACUGAACAUAUUAGCAUCUUUCCACCUGAAGCGAAUUAUUGGAAAUGAGGAAAAUUGCAACUAAAUUGCAAUAAAUGGCCAUUGAGUGAGUGAAAAAUGCUGUGCUUGAGAUGGUUAUGUGUCCUGAUUUAUCUAUUUCAUUUACCAGAGGCCUCUUGAACGCAUUUAAUGGAAAAGAUCCUGCAUGCAGAGCAUGUACAGUAUGCAUUAUUAUUCAACAUUAGAGCCUCAUAGAAAUUUGGAGUGUCAUAACCUUUUACACCUCCGAUCCAUUCUAACUUUUCAGCAAUUGAUUUUUCCCCUGCCACCAAGGUUUAAUGUGUUUGAACAUAAUACAUGCACACUCCACACGCAGCCCAUAUCUUCCCUUGUGUGCUCCUAAUGGAAAUAAGCAACCUAAUGAGCUGAGACUUUAGGUUUAGGCUACUGGAAAACAAUCCUCAGCAGCAGAAAUGACACAAAAAUGUGAUCUUCUUCUGGUUCUCCUCCUCCUCCUCCUCCUCCUCCUCCUCUCUCCUUCUGCGUCUCUUCAUCCUUAACUCAAUUCUAUCCACCCACAGUCCUCCACCCUCCCCGUGGUUGCUGAGCACUGCAUCAGCAGCAUCCCCAGGAGAAGGGAGACCUGUUCUUUAACUAGACCAUUACGAAUACCUGCCACUUCUAAACCACCAAGAUACAUCAGCUUCGUCCGCACCCACACCUUCUGGGAAGACUCAGCCCUUUAAUCUGAUUCUCCGUUAUGUAAUCCUGCGUGAUAGAUAACUGCAGACGCUCCAAGAUUAAUGAAAUUCAGGGGAAGCCCCCCCCACACGGCCUGAUCUACAGUACUAGGAGAAGAUGACGGCUCUGCUAUUUUUGCUCAGGCAUCUCCGUAGGUACUAUAGCUUCUGAGGUCACACGGCUGCCCACCCCUAAGAGAAGCGCACUGCUGCAGUGCACUAUUUCUGGGCUCCUGGCAGGAAGAGACAGGUGUGAAGGCUUGUGGAAACCUGCUGAAAGGUGCUAUAGCACUCCACAGUUUCAGGGCUGAUGACGGAAAGAUACCGCAUGGUGCAAAAAAUAACUGGGAUCCCAAACCUCCCUCUCUCCCUGUUUUACCUCUAGUGUGAAUGAAGCUGUUCAAACAGUCCACAGUCAAGGUCAGUAUUUGGGGUAUCAAAAGGUAAACGUGCGCAUCGCUUGCUGUUAUUUUUGACUGAUAGGCCCUUUGUCUGUAUUGAGUCUGAACCGACUGCCUGGCUGCUGCUGCUGCUGCUGCUGCUGCAUGCCGAUGAGAUCAGCACAGCCGCAGUGUCAGUUUUGCGCCUCAUCACAGUGACAGCUGCAGGAUGGCCAGUAUUAUGUCGACAUCAGUCUCUCUUUCCUACAAGCCAGGCCUCGUCUAUCUACUGAAACACAGGGCUGCUACCAUUCAGAGGGCUGAUAAUGAAAUUUAUGAAUAACAAUACAAAGGGCCAGAUAGUAGUCAGUGGCUGAGUGGACUUUCAUGAUAAUGGGUAUCAAAAUGGCAAGCCUUAGUGGCUUUUGGUAUUCAGUGUAAGUUGUACACUGUCCAAAUGCCAACUAACACUAAAAGUCUGGAACCUGAAUCACAAAACUAAACUGGGAACCUCUGAUUAAUGAUUUAGUGUGGUGGUUACGAAUCUUUCUGGGCUUGUGGCCCCAUGUGACCAGUUGUUGUCUAGCAGUUGUGACACGUUGUCCCCAUUUGGUGAUAGAAUCUAUUUGUGAUCCUUGAGUGUUUUCAAUUCCCUACCAUACAGGUUUGCCCAUUCAGAAAUUUAUCACAAUUUAAAAGACGUAUUUACUGUUUCUUUUACACACAUGAUAUCCCAAAAUCGCUGGUCUGAACCACAACACAGAGGCAGAGAGGCAGUUAACAAGGUGAAAAUUUACCUUGCUGAAUUUAAGCGUAAAGCACAAAGAUUGCUUCUUUGAGGCAAAUCACUGUUCAAGGCGCAGAUGAACUAAAAACCAGCCCUGCCGUCUUGGAAUUUGGGGCGUUUUGGGAGAUGACGCAACAGGAAAGAAAACACAAUCAAAAUUGAAUAAGCUCUGCUGAAAUUAUUCUAAGCAGCAGCAAGAAAAAAGGUUUUCCCAAGGAGUGUGUAACAAACAAGUCCACAUCCUUUGAACUGCUUCCUUUGUGUUGGUAUGCAGUCAGAGGCACUGCAGACUACCUAAUGGACUGGGUACCAUUAAACAGGAUCAAAUAGAUGAUUCAAGUCCAUGAAAGCUAAAAAAAAUUGCUGACAUUUGAAUUGAAAACAAGCUGAAAUUGCAGCGUUUUUCAUAUGAAUUCCUGAAAGUAGCUAAAGGAGAAGAAUGUACAAUAACUCUUAAAUAAUACACAUUUCAUUCAUGAUCAGGAUAAAUCACCACGACUGCAGCACUUUU